UACAUUUUUUCCAUCCAUUCAGCCUAAACUGUCAACUAAAAUCUAGGAUAUAUUAUUUCCCCCAAAACAAACCCUAACCGGCCGGCCUAAUUCUCACGCGCUCGCCACAGAUCUAGCCCUGCCGACAGCGCUCUCGUCGCCGCGUGUCCCGUUCACGUCGUCGUCCGCCCCCGGCCCUUGCCUCACCGACUCGUGGCCGUCGGCAGCUCCACAUGGGGCACGGCCACGCCUGACGCCUCCACCUCCACGACUGAGCUGACGGCUCCUCUCCAAGGGACGGUGCACGACAGCGCCAUGGCGGUUCACCGGCUCCAACCUUCCCCUUCCGGCCUAUAGUGCUCCACCGUUCGGUCACCAGUGGUCUUCUAUGGGCCACGGCUGACGGGUGCACGCACCGGUAUGCAUCCCUUGCUGUUGUAUUCCCAACGCUCUAGCUCGUGUACCAGUUGUGCAGCCUGUCGCCUAGCCCUGCUCCGGCGUGAAGUCCUGAUGCUAGACGCAAGUCCUGAUGCUUCUGGUUGUUUUGUCUUAAAUAAAGAUGCUAAUAUGCAUGUGGCUAUGUGAGGUCUAUUGCAUCCGAUUUACUGCUGCACAUUUAAGUAAUGUUGAUGAUUGAUUCAAGCAAUUUUUUACUUGGCCUUUAUAUUCUGGAUUAUGUAACCGGUUGAAACUAAGAGAUACAUGAUGAUUUGCUAAAUCAUAAAUAUAUUUAUAUUGCAUAAUCUGCUACCUAAGGCCUUAGUGCCUAACCUUAACAAAUAUUUUUUAUACUUGAUUCUAUUGUGUAGGUAUGGCUGUAAGACAGGCCGUUCAACGAGCACCUCAUUAUCCAGAGUCUCACAAUUUAAAUGGCUUGAUUUCUAAAGUCCAAUUAUAUUUCCAGUCAGCAAUCACAUAUUAACUACACAAGCAAAGUGCAGAGAUAUAUUAUGUUCUUUUUUGAAACAAGUUAUUUCUUACAAUACCCUUUUCAUUGUGUUCUUUUCAUUGUAUUUUUGCUUCAUCUAUCAUGUCACGUUGUGGACCUGGCUAGCUUCAAUCAUGCUUUUCCUUUUUCAGUUUCGCCUUUUCCAGUGGUAAUACUUGGCAGAGAAAUCCUGAGCCAAGCGCAAACCUUCUACAAGUCCUGGUAACUUAUUUUAGGGGCUAGAAACAGGCGACGACAGUUUAGGACUUGUUUUUUUACACCAAUCCAGCCCUGGAUUAGCAAUGAUUUUUAUGCAGCUCUUGUUUGUUACGACCACUCAUGGCACCAUUUAUGCAUACAUCUGAACUAUUUAUGCUGUUGAUAUGUUUCUAGUGUGGCAAUGAUUUUUUUACAUAUAGAUGCUUACCAAAAGUUCAAAAUCUUUUCGGUCGGUAGCAGUAGAAGCAGCACACCCAAUUUGUCAUACACUCUGUAAUUUUUAUUUCCUAAAUAUGUCUUUUUAUGCUAAUUUGAAUACUCUAUUAUGCCCAAUUACUAGAUCACGUGUAUGCUCCGCUUUGUAAACACGUAGACCACCAAAUUGUACAUUUUUUAUGUUCUUCCUUUUAUGCUUUUAUACUGAGUUGAAUUGGUCCUCACAUGAUCAUGCAUCAGUACCCAAUGAUUCAGACUCAUCUAAUGCUUCUGCUUCCUUACAUGAAUAUGCAUUAGCAGGUCAGUCAUCUAGCUCUACUUACUAUAACAAGCACACAUUAUCCACCGAUGUGAUUCUUAUUCCUGCUAAUUUGAAUGUGUUAUUAUGCUCAAUUAUCAGAUCUCGUGUACGCUCCGCGUUGUAAACACGUAGAACAAUUCUCCUACAUUGUUUUUGUUCUUCCUUUUAUGCUUUUACGAUGAUUUGAAUUGGUCCUUUUCAUAACAAUGCAACCCUAGUACCUAGUCCACUCUAGGAACGACGGAAGCGAGGCGAGGUGGUAGAUCCAGCACCGCUUUGGCAUGGCCAUCCAUUCCUCCACCCGGAUCGUGUACCUAGGCCUACCUCUCCUCGAGGAACGCUGUCGAGGUCGUCCGGCUGGAGCAGAAGGCGGCGUCGCUCGGCAAGCUAGUCGAGGAGGAGGAAGAAGCCCAAGUGACUCUUGAUGUCCUUAGCAAACCGAAGCACCCAGGCUUCCUUCUUCGCCACUUGUUCCCCAGCAAGGCCGGCGACAUCCCGGCAUGGCUAGACCCGGUAUAUUGCCGUCGGGAAAGUCUAGCUACAGUGGUUUCUGUGGCAAGCCUCUGCAGUUCGUCCUCUAGGCGUUUUCUUUGUGUGCAAUGAAGUUGCCACACUCGACUGCUUAUUGUUUGGAUAUCGACUUGGUCACAGUUAGGCUUGGUUGUGUUUAGAUUUAUGCACUAACUAAAGAUAAUGUAGCAGCCUUCCACCGAACGUUGUUCAUGUUCAUGUGCCCAUCCAUGGCAUGCUUGCUUCGAGAUCAACAUGAACAAUGGAAGCACAAGUACGGGAAUCCAUGUAGAAGCGUGAAGAUUUUUCGGUGCCAAUUGCCACGGAAUAAUGCCUUCUACUCAGCUCAACCUCCAAAGCAUGAUGGCUCUAACAAACCACUCUGUCUAGGAGCUCUUGUAUGCCACUGGUGUGGUACCUGGAAAGGUGAUAAAAUAUGUAGUAACUGCAAGAAAGCAAGGUAUUGUUCUGAGAAACAUCAGGUUGAUGGCUCUUGAUUGCUGUUUCUCAGGCACUGCAUUGGCGUACUAGCUGACAAUGAUAAUAUACUCAGUAUCAAAGAAUAUAGUUUUUGAAUUGUGUUUUCUGCUAGGAAUCAUAAAAGCAUAUGGAGGAACUAUGUAUAGGCUACAAAGAAGCAUUUUUAUAGCAAGAGCCAAGUGUUCUGAUGAUUUUGUUUUUUCAAUUGUGUCUUCUGUUAUUGGUUCAGCAUGCACAUAUAUUGACAUGAUUUAUGGUAUGGCAUCUGCCAUCUUUGUUAUAUUUAUGACAUCGUUCUUGAUUGAUGUGUGCGACAUGAAUGAUGGAUCUUUUUAACAUCCUGACCAUCAUUGUGUCGCUCAUUAUCGUAUUUUGUAUAUCAUUUAUGGGUUCAUGGAUAUGAAAUGACAGGUUUCUUAUUUUUGA